AACGCACCUUGCGCUCCUUGGCAUUCCGAGGAGCAUGCCUGUUUGAGUGUCAUGUUAACUCUCAGCCCUUCGGGUCGGACUUUGGACGUUGCGGGAGCCGCUUCCGCUCGUCUCAAAUGCAUUAGCGGGGUUUUGGGGACCCAUUGCUGGCGUUUAGUAAUGCUUGCGCCGCGCGGGGUCUUCGUCCGCUCACUAGCCGGACGCCACGGCGUCGAACUUGACUUCUGGCCUCAAAUCAGGUAGGAUUACCCGCCGAACUUAA
rnacentral:misc_RNA from 1 species